rnacentral:rRNA from 1 species
AGUCGAGGGGCAGCAUCAUCAAAGCUUGCUUUGAUGGAUGGCGACCGGCGCACGGGUGAGUAACACGUAUCCAACCUGCCGACAACACUGGGAUAGCCUUUCGAAAGAAAGAUUAAUACCGGAUGGCAUAAUUAUUCCGCAUGGGAUAAUUAUUAAAGAAUUUCGGUUGUCGAUGGGGAUGCGUUCCAUUAGGCAGUUGGCGGGGUAACGGCCCACCAAACCUACGAUGGAUAGGGGUUCUGAGAGGAAGGUCCCCCACAUUGGAACUGAGACACGGUCCAAACUCCUACGGGAGGCAGCAGUGAGGAAUAUUGGUCAAUGGACGAGAGUCUGAACCAGCCAAGUAGCGUGAAGGAUGACUGCCCUAUGGGUUGUAAACUUCUUUUAUACGGGAAUAAAGUGAGCCACGUGUGGCUUUUUGUAUGUACCGUAUGAAUAAGGAUCGGCUAACUCCGUGCCGGCAGCCGCGGUAAUACGGAGGAUUCGAGCGUUAUCCGGAUUUAUUGGGUUUAAAGGGAGCGUAGGCGGGUUGUUAAGUCAGUUGUGAAAGUUUGCGGCUCAACCGUAAAAUUGCAGUUGAUACUGGCGACCUUGAGUGCAACAGAGGUAGGCGGAAUUCGUGGUGUAGCGGUGAAAUGCUUAGAUAUCACGAAGAACUCCGAUUGCGAAGGCAGCUUACUGGAUUGUAACUGACGCUGAUGCUCGAAAGUGUGGGUAUCAA